CCUCCCAAAUCCUGCUUC
rnacentral:snRNA from 1 species